rnacentral:rRNA from 1 species
UACGUAGGGGGCAAGCGUUGUCCGGAAUUAUUGGGCGUAAAGAGCUCGUAGGCGGUUGGGUAAGUCGGGUGUGAAAACUCCAGGCUCAACUUGGAGAUGCCACCCGAUACUGCUCUGACUUGAGUUCGGUAGGGGAGUGGGGAAUCCUGGUGUAGCGGUGAAAUGCGCAGAUAUCAGGAGGAACACCGGUGGCGAAGGCGGAUCUCUGGGCCGAUACUGACGCUGAGGAGCGAAAGCGUGGGGAGCGAACAGG